rnacentral:lncRNA from 11 species
GAACCGGGAACGCUCAAAAACUGUAUAGCAGAUCAUUCCUUUUGGAUGUCACUUAGGUUUCUUGUGCUGGACAACUGCAAUGAAAAGCUGCUGGACCAGGACACGCAACAUGGACAAGCUUUAUGUAGGAUGGUUGUGUGACCUGUGCUCCAGAGACAGUCUUCUAUUUGAAAAUGGUCCUCUAUUGGAAUGGCUUACUGGUUCAUGUCUCCUUAAAAGAAAAAACAAUGUUUUGGUGCUACAUCUGACAUCACCAGCUCAGCAAUUCACGUUACUAGGAAAACAAGAGCCCAAGAUGCUGUGUGGAAGAAAGGAAGCCAAGAACAUCUGAGGUCAGGCAGGAAACCAUCAGAAUUGCUCUUUUACUUCAGGAGAUGAUUUUGAAAAGCAUCAGGGAAGCAGCCAUCUCUUUCCUUUGAGGCCGGGAAUGUAAAAAGAGCCGUUCUUGGCUCUCCAAAUGGAAAGCAAGAGAAGAAAGAUAUAAAUCAGAUAGCGGUGCCUCAGCGAGCCUUGUUUCCUUGCCAAGCAGAUUAUGUGGUGUAAUCUGUAAGCGCUGAACUGUGUUUGAAUUAUGAGCAGGAAUCUCUCUCUGCUUUUGUUUCAGCCUCCUGGGAGAUGGGAUGUUUCCGGCCUCCUAAUGUCACAGCAUGACCUGUUAAUAACCUGCGAAAAAGCUCAGCCAAUCAGAAGCCUCCCUCUUCCCCGAGGACCCAGCAGCUGCAGUCACAUGGAUUGAAUGCCUCUCUUGUAUGCCAUUCAUUGAGAAAAAUUCAAGCAUGUGGCCUGAGGUUCCCCUGUUGACGGUCUACGGAUGAUGAUUUCUCCCAUCUGCUCAGGCUGCCUGCGGCUUCCGGAAGCACACCAAAGGGAGACGCUCUUUUUGGGUCAUAUGUGGGAUUAUUAAUGAAACCUCAGCUGCUGGCCAACUGUCUGUGAAUAUCAGACACAUCUGAAUAGUCUUGCGGUGGCGGGGAGGAGGGAGGAAGUCUUCUGCUUAACCCUUUAAUCUGAGGCACUCUCCAGUGUUUACAUAAUGAUAGGCUGCAAGGCAACCCAAUUAUUGUCGUUACUAGCAUUCUAGCAGCUGCUUAAUGGACUGUAUUUCUCUAAUGCCCUUUGCUGUUUUUCUUCUGCCUACAUUAAUAAAAAAAAAGGGGGGGGUGUUGCUGCUGCUGCUGCCUAUUUUGGAUACAGCAAACAGUUAGAAAAGAUAAGCCUGUCCUGCAUAUUAUAAGUGUGCUUCUAGUGACCUGGACCUUUUGCUUGUAGUUUAUCUUUAG